AUUCAAAUCUCCAAAAAAUUGUGCCAGAUCACAAGUAUAGUUCCUUUGUCCCGAUGCGCCCACACCACCCCACGCCUCAUUUAUCCGCGCAUCACCUCUUCCAUAGACGGUGAAGGUCGGAAUUCCGACGCGAUACGCAACAAUCAGCGGGGUCGGAUUUUUUUGAGGUUCAGGCAAGAAUGAAAAAAUCGCGGCGGGAAAUGU
ensembl:ncRNA F37H8.9 ncRNA